UUGAACUGCUUUUGAAACUGUCUAUCUAGAGUAUGGGAGAGGUAGAUGGAAUUUCUGGUGUAGGGGUAAAAUCCGUAGAGAUCAGAAGGAAUACCGAUUGCGAAGGCGAUCUACUGGAACAUAACUGACGCUGAGACGCGAAAGCGUGGGGAGCAAACAGGAUUAGAUACCCUGGUAGUCCACGCCCUAAACGAUGUACACUAGUUGUUGCUAUGCUCGACAUAGCAGUAAUGCAGUUAACACAUUAAGUGUACCGCCUGGGGAGUACGGUCGCAAGAUUAAAACUCAAAGGAAUAGACGGGGACCCGCACAAGCGGUGGAGCAUGUGGUUUAAUUCGACGAUACGCGAAGAACCUUACCUGGUCUUGACAUAGUAAGAACCAUUUAGAGAUAGAUGGGUGUCUGCUUGCAGAAACUUAUAUACAGGUGCUGCACGGCUGUCGUCAGCUCGUGUCGUGAGAUGUUGGGUUAAGUCCCGCAACGAGCGCAACCCUCGUCAUUAGUUGCUAACACUUCGGGUGAGAACUCUAAUGAGACUGCCUACGCAAGUAGGAGGAAGGUGAGGACGACGUCAAGUCAUCAUGGCCCUUACGACCAGGGCUACACACGUGCUACAAUGGGGUAUACAAAGAGCAGCGAUACAGUGAUGUGGAGCAAAUCUAAAAAAUACCUCCCAGUUCGGAUUGUAGUCUGCAACUCGACUACAUGAAGUUGGAAUCGCUAGUAAUCGUAGAUCAGCAAUGCUACGGUGAAUACGUUCCCGGGUCUUGUACUCACCGCCCGUCACACCAUGGGAGUUGAUUUCACUCGAAGCGGGGAUGCUAAGAUAGCUA
rnacentral:rRNA from 1 species